AAAAUUCUAUUAAGUUCCUUGUCCAGAAACAACAUCUCUUCAAGAUUUGCAUUGCCGAAGAUAAGCUAAGAUCCUAAAUCCCCUGGGAGUGUCAUUUUGUCAUUACCUGUCUUACUUGGAAAGCACAACUCUUUAGCUUGUAGAAGGCUGCCGAUACUUACAUUAGAUGAUUUCCUAAUGGCAUCUUGGACAUUCCUUCAUUUACUCAGAAACACCCCAUUAUUGUUUUGGAUGGGUCACAGUUGAACUUAAACCACUAAUCCUUAAACUUUUCAACAUGAGGAGACUUCUAGGUCCUGAUAUUACAGAUCUGGGACUUAUUCUGGACUUUACUAAUUUAUUUUGACCUCAAGGCAAGUUACUUAAUUUCUGUUUGCCUUUUUUUCACUAAAGAUCAAGUUAAACGGGGAGGAUAAUAUCCCACAACAUUGGGUUGUGGGAAUAAUAUUAUGCAUGAAAUCAC
rnacentral:lncRNA from 1 species